GAUGAACGCUGGCGGCGUGCCUAAUACAUGCAAGUCGAGCGAACGGACGAGAAGCUUGCUUCUCUGAUGUUAGCGGCGGACGGGUGAGUAACACGUGGAUAACCUACCUAUAAGACUGGGAUAACUUCGGGAAACCGGAGCUAAUACCGGAUAAUAUUUUGAACCGCAUGGUUCAAAAGUGAAAGACGGUCUUGCUGUCACUUAUAGAUGGAUCCGCGCUGCAUUAGCUAGUUGGUAAGGUAACGGCUUACCAAGGCAACGAUGCAUAGCCGACCUGAGAGGGUGAUCGGCCACACUGGAACUGAGACACGGUCCAGACUCCUACGGGAGGCAGCAGUAGGGAAUCUUCCGCAAUGGGCGAAAGCCUGACGGAGCAACGCCGCGUGAGUGAUGAAGGUCUUCGGAUCGUAGAACUCUGUUAUUAGGGAAGAACAUAUGUGUAAGUAACUGUGCACAUCUUGACGGUACCUAAUCAGAAAGCCACGGCUAACUACGUGCCAGCAGCCGCGGUAAUACGUAGGUGGCAAGCGUUAUCCGGAAUUAUUGGGCGUAAAGCGCGCGUAGGCGGUUUUUUAAGUCUGAUGUGAAAGCCCACGGCUCAACCGUGGAGGGUCAUUGGAAACUGGAAAACUUGAGUGCAGAAGAGGAAAGUGGAAUUCCAUGUGUAGCGGUGAAAUGCGCAGAGAUAUGGAGGAACACCAGUGGCGAAGGCGACUUUCUGGUCUGUAACUGACGCUGAUGUGCGAAAGCGUGGGGAUCAAACAGGAUUAGAUACCCUGGUAGUCCACGCCGUAAACGAUGAGUGCUAAGUGUUAGGGGGUUUCCGCCCCUUAGUGCUGCAGCUAACGCAUUAAGCACUCCGCCUGAGGAGUACGACCGCAAGGUUGAAACUCAAAGGAAUUGACGGGGACCCGCACAAGCGGUGGAGCAUGUGGUUUAAUUCGAAGCAACGCGAAGAACCUUACCAAAUCUUGACAUCCUUUGACAACUCUAGAGAUAGAGCCUUCCCCUUCGGGGGACAAAGUGACAGGUGGUGCAUGGUUGUCGUCAGCUCGUGUCGUGAGAUGUUGGGUUAAGUCCCGCAACGAGCGCAACCCUUAAGCUUAGUUGCCAUCAUUAAGUUGGGCACUCUAAGUUGACUGCCGGUGACAAACCGGAGGAAGGUGGGGAUGACGUCAAAUCAUCAUGCCCCUUAUGAUUUGGGCUACACACGUGCUACAAUGGACAAUACAAAGGGCAGCGAAACCGCGAGGUCAAGCAAAUCCCAUAAAGUUGUUCUCAGUUCGGAUUGUAGUCUGCAACUCGACUACAUGAAGCUGGAAUCGCUAGUAAUCGUAGAUCAGCAUGCUACGGUGAAUACGUUCCCGGGUCU
rnacentral:rRNA from 1 species